rnacentral:piRNA from 1 species
CCAGCCCAGGCAGACUUGGCUUUCAUGGU